GUGAGGAAUUUUCCGCAAUGGGCGAAAGCCUGACGGAGCAAUGCCGCGUGAAGGAUGAAGGCCUAUGGGUUGUAAACUUCUUUUCUCAGAAAAGAAUUAUGACGGUAUCUGAGGAAUAAGCAUCGGCUAACUCUGUGCCAGCAGCCGCGGUAAGACAGAGGAUGCAAGCGUUAUCCGGAAUGAUUGGGCGUAAAGCGUCUGUAGGUUGUUUAAAAAGUAUUCUGUCAAAGAUUAGGCCUUAACCCUAGAUAGGCAGAAUAAACUUUUAAGCUAGAGUAUGGUAGAGGCAGAGGGAAUUCCCGGUGGAGCGGUGAAAUGCGUAGAUAUCGGGAGGAACACCAAAGGCGAAGGCACUCUGCUGGGCCAAUACUAACACUGAGAGACGAAAGCGAGGGGAGCAAAUGGGAUUAGAUACCCUAGUAGUCC
rnacentral:rRNA from 1 species